rnacentral:rRNA from 1 species
GAUGAACGCUGGCGGCGUGCCUAAUACAUGCAAGUCGAGCGAACAGACGAGGAGCUUUCUCCUUCGACGUUAGCGGCGGACGGGUGAGUAACACGUAGGUAACCUACCUAUAAGACUGGGAGAACUUCGGGAAACCGGAGCUAAUACCGGAUAAUAUUUCGAACCGCAUGGUUCGAUAGUUAAAGAUGGCUUUGCUAUCACUUAUAGAUGGACCCGCGCCGUAUUAGCUAGUUGGUAAGGUAACGGCUUACCAAGGCAACGAUACGUAGCCGACCUGAGAGGGUGAUCGGCCACACUGGAACUGAGACACGGUCCAGACUCCUACGGGAGGCAGCAGUAGGGAAUCUUCCGCAAUGGGCGAAAGCCUGACGGAGCAACGCCGCGUGAGUGAUGAAGGUCUUCGGAUCGUAAAACUCUGUUAUUAGGAAAGAACAAACGUGUAAGUAACUGUGCACGUCUUGACGGUACCUAAUCAGAAAGCCACGGCUAACUACGUG